rnacentral:rRNA from 1 species
UACGUAGGGGGCAAGCGUUGUCCGGAAUCAUUGGGCGUAAAGCGCGUGUAGGCGGCUCGAUAAGUCUGCUGUGAAAGUCCAGGGCUCAACCCUGGGAUGCCGGUGGAUACUGUCGAGCUCGAGUCCGGAAGAGGCGAGUGGAAUUCCUGGUGUAGCGGUGAAAUGCGCAGAUAUCAGGUGGAACACCAAUGGCGAAGGCAGCUCGCUGGGACGUGACUGACGCUGAGACGCGAAAGCGUGGGGAGCAAACAGG